GGUUUGCGGACCCACGGGGAGUCGCGGUGGAAAGGCGUGUCUCGCUGACUCCCGUCAUGUGACAAGAAGCGGAAACUACGCUGCAAUAGGCCGUUGCUCCAAGUCCCAGUAACUCGGAAUGCGGAGCCGCUCGUCUCCGUUUUUUUUAAGAGUGCACUGGUACCAUCAUAGCUCACUGCUGCUUCAUACUCCUGGACUCAAGCAACCCUCCCUCCUUGGUCUCCCAAAGUGCUGAGAUUACAGGUGUGAGCCACCUCCCCUGGCCAUAAAGGUGACAGAACCCAGUCUCAGAAGUUAAAUGACUUGCCCAGACUGACAGCAAAUGAAUGGCAGCUACAGUGAACCUCAGAACCCGGUGUCCUAACGUUACCUCGGUCGAGACUUGUUUUUACUUAAGCUUUGCAAUGAAGAUUUUUGUUUUAACACGAGCAUCCCAUGGACAAAUAACCUCUCA